rnacentral:rRNA from 1 species
CGGUACGAGAUGAGCCCGCGGCCUAUCAGCUUGUUGGUGGGGUAAUGGCCUACCAAGGCGUCGACGGGUAGCCGGCCUGAGAGGGUGGACGGCCACAUUGGGACUGAGAUACGGCCCAGACUCCUACGGGAGGCAGCAGUGGGGAAUAUUGCACAAUGGGCGCAAGCCUGAUGCAGCGACGCCGCGUGAGGGAUGACGGCCUUCGGGUUGUAAACCUCUUUCGACAGGGACGAAGCUUUUUGUGACGGUACCUGUAUAAGAAGCACCGGCUAACUACGUGCCAGCAGCCGCGGUAAUACGUAGGGUGCGAGCGUUGUCCGGAAUUACUGGGCGUAAAGAGCUCGUAGGUGGUUUGUCGCGUCGUCUGUGAAAUUCCGGGGCUUAACUCCGGGCGUGCAGGCGAUACGGGCAUAACUUGAGUGCUGUAGGGGAGACUGGAAUUCCUGGUGUAGCGGUGGAAUGCGCAGAUAUCAGGAGGAACACCGAUGGCGAAGGCAGGUCUCUGGGCAGUAACUGACGCUGAGGAGCGAAAGCAUGGGGAGCGAACAGGAUUAGAUACCCUGGUAGUCCAUGCCGUAAACGGUGGGCGCUAGGUGUGAGGGUCUUCCACGACUUUCGUGCCGUAGCUAACGCAUUAAGCGCCCCGCCUGGGGAGUACGGCCGCAAGGCUAAAACU